rnacentral:rRNA from 1 species
CCUACGGGGGGCAGCAGUGAGGAAUAUUGGUCAAUGGACGAGAGUCUGAACCAGCCAAGCAGCGUGAAGGAUGAAUGUCCCAAGGGUUGUAAACUUCUUUUAUAAAGGAACAAAACGAGGCACGGGCGCAUUAUUGCAUGUACUUGAUGAAAAAGGAUCGGUUAACUCCGUGCCAGCAGCCUCGGUAAUACGGAGGAUCCGAGCGUUGUCCGGAUUUAUUGGGUUUAAAGGGAGGGUAGAUGGGGUGUUAAGUCAGAUGUGAAAGCUUGCGGGUCAACCGUAGAGUUGCAAUGGAUACUGGCAGUCUUGAGUGCAGUUGAGGUAGGCGGAAUUCGUGGUGUAGCGGUGAAAUGCUUAGAUAUCACGAAGAACCCCGAUUGCGAAGGCAGCUUACUGAACUGUGACUGACGUUGAUGCUCGAAAGUGUGGGUAUCAAACAGGAGUAGAUACCCUGGUAGUC